AGGGAAGGACACCAGCCCUGGUACCACUGCUCAGAUUCUGUCAACAAAGGAGCAUUUUCAAUCUGAACCAACAAGAUGAAAGGGAGUGCUUUGGAGAUUGGGAAACUCUGAGAAUCCUUUAGGAGGCAGAAUUAGCAACGCAGAGACUGCUCCUUUCAGGCUAACGGAACACAAUUAACCAGGAAGAAGUGUAAAUAACCAAAGAAAACCACCAAACAGUGUGAACGGAGGUUUGGAGAGUAACCUAGACUAGAAGAAUAGAAAGCAAAGCACAGGCACGGUAAGUGUGAGAGCGUUUGGUUUUGUGGAAAAUUUGGUGGACUUGGAAAAGAAUAUAGUAAGGAUAACUCUAUAGUUUCAUGCUUUUGCCGUGGCUAAUCAAAAAGUAAAUGUUUAUUUCAAACUAGAAAGCCACUAUGAGAAUUUGAGUUAAAACACUGACCUUUUCUAAACUCUUGACUAUGCUUAUUUAUUUCUAGAUAGUGUCCCUAUUUGCAAGCCUAUAAUGUUAAUGGUUAAAAUUCUAAUUCUCUCUGAGGGAUCUCCUGAAAAGUUAACUGGCCCUCUGCUCACUGACUGAAUUCCAGUCAUGGACGGUAUCCCCAGGUAAUUAAAAUGUUCACUUAAGAAAAAAAAAAAGCUAAGUAUCACAUAGCAUUGUUAACCUUCUUCUCAGAUAACGUACUCAGUGUCAGAAUUAUCUGUACUGCCUUGGGGCUUUUUUGAAGAGUGAAUAUCUUUGCACACAUUGUCAGUGUACACCAUGUAGGAAUAAUUAUCAUCAUUAACCUGGGCUGCCUGCUUAUUAAUAUGUACUGCCAUUCACUAUAAGUACUCGGUUGUGGCAGAAAAACAAAAGAGAUAGCUGAAUAAAGGUGGCAUUCCAGGCUUCAGUAACAUUAUUAAAAUAUUUAGAAAGUGAAGCUAAUGAGUUCACCUUUCUUCUCAAAACACACAGAUUCCCAAAUGCCCCUAACCUUUGAAAGAACGUGUCAACUGAAUAUAUAAGAGGAGGGAAGAGACAGCUUGAAACGAGCCAGGCAUCAUGCGUUGUUCAUUCACAGAAGACAAUGGAUAAAAUCAAUGAUUUGAUCAAAACGCUUGUGAAUUAACUGAAUUCCACUUCCAAAUGUAACAUUCAGAAACCAUGUGCUUGGAACCCACAAACCAAGAACAGAUGAAACAUUUGCCCUACCUUUUCUAUCAGGCCUUUAACAAAUUCCCAGUCUCUAGGAGGCAACUCCUGUAGAGGAAAGUGCUGGCCUUAACAAGUAGGGAGCUCCUGCCCCAAAGUCGGGGCUAACGCAGGAGCUGGGUCAUGGAGUGGACAGGUGCCUCAUCCCUGGGG